CCGCGUGUGUGAAGAAGGCCUUCGGGUUGUAAAGCACUUUCGGCCGGAACGAAAUCGUCCCAGUUAAUACCGGGGAUGGAUGACGGUACCGGAAGAAGAAGCACCGGCUAACUACGUGCCAGCAGCCGCGGUAAUACGUAGGGUGCGAGCGUUAAUCGGAAUUACUGGGCGUAAAGUGUGCGCAGGUGGCCGCGCAAGUCGAGUGUGAAAGCCCCGGGCUUAACUUGGGAAUUGCGCUCGAAACUACGUGGCUAGAGUGUGGCAGAGGAAGGUGGAAUUCCACGUGUAGCGGUGAAAUGCGUAGAGAUGUGGAGGAACACCGAUGGCGAAGGCAGCCUUCUGGGCCAACACUGACGCUCAUGCACGAAAGCGUGGGGAGCAAACAGGAUUAGAUACCCUGGUAGUCCACGCCCUAAACGAUGAUGACUAGUUGUUGGGGGAGUUAAAUCCCUUAGUAAUGUAGCUAACGCGUGAAGUCAUCCGCCUGGGGAGUACGGUCGCAAGAUUA
rnacentral:rRNA from 1 species